AUUGAACGCUGGCGGCAUGCCUAACACAUGCAAGUCGAACGGGGUGUAGCAAUACAUCUAGUGGCGGACGGGUGAGGAAUACAUAGGAAUUUACCCUUAAGUGGGGGAUAGUCCGGGGAAACUCGGUUUAAUACCGCAUGAUCUCGUGAGAGCAAAGCAGGGGACCGCAAGGCCUUGCGCUUUUGGAGAAGCCUAUGUCGGAUUAGCUAGUUGGUAGGGUAAUGGCCUACCAAGGCGACGAUCCGUAACUGGUCUGAGAGGAUGAUCAGUCACACCGGAACUGAGACACGGUCCGGACUCCUACGGGAGGCAGCAGUGGGGAAUAGUUGGACAAUGGGCGCAAGCCUGAUCCAGCAAUGCCGCGUGUGUA
rnacentral:rRNA from 1 species